CAAUAGCGUAUAUUAAAGUUGUUGCAGUUAAAAAGCUCGUAGUUGAAUUUUUGCUUGCCGCCAAUGUCGGAACUUCCGUACGUUCGGCGGCGUGCAUCCUUGGGUGGAACCUGUGUGGCAUUAGGUUGUCGUGCAGGGGAUGCUCAUCGUUUACUGUGAAAAAAUUAGAGUGUUCAAAGCAGGCUUAUGCCGUUGAAUAUAUUAGCAUGGAAUAAUAAGAUAGGACCUUGGUACUAUUUUGUUGGUUUGCGCACCGAGGUAAUGAUUAACAGGGACAGUUGGGGGUAUUCGUAUUCCAUUGUCAGAGGUGAAAUUCUUGGAUUUCUGGAAGACGAACUACUGCGAAAGCAUUUACCAAGGAUGUUUUCAUUAA
rnacentral:rRNA from 1 species